AUGUAGCCAGAGUUCUGAAUAGGUGUGAUGAUAAUCAAUGACCAACCUGAGAUCACAAUGUGCAUUCUUAGGAUCCUCAUUUGCAUAAAAGUAGCAGAAACUCAAAGAAGGUUUCUUUCUGAAGAUGAGAAAUGGGAUAUGUUAUCCUAAUUCACAAACCCCGCAGAAUUUAAUUAGUGUUGAGUUUAAGAGACUCUCACAUGAAAUUUAAUAUUACAUGAAAAUCCAAGUGCCACUGGAUCAUUUGCUAUUGAAGUAACCAUGUCCCUUUAGUCCUUACAAACUGAACAAACCAGCUUGCCUUCAUCCUCACUGAGUCAAUGAGUUUGCCACCCGUUGCUAUGAGGACCUGCUAUCUCUUCUUCAUGUUGGCUUUCUUGUUUUUGUUGCCUGCCCCAGGUUUCUCCACAAAAGUACAAUUUCCUUUAUCUUGUCUUGGGAACAGAGGCUUUUGUUUUCCAUUCAGAUGCCUCCCUAGCUGGGAGGAGAUUGGCCUAUGUUUCUUGUCCACACAGAAAUGUUGCAGAAGAUGGAAG